rnacentral:tRNA from 1 species
UAGCCUAGUGGUUAAGGCUAUGGAUUGCCAAUCAGGAGACGGCGGGUUCGAUUCCCGU